GAAAAAAACCACCCCUGCACAAAAAACUCUCCUCUCCACCCCAUCUCCGAUCUCCCUGCCGCCGACUCUUCGUAGCCGCCGCCCACGUGCGAACUCGUUCGUUGCCGCCGCCGCCGUCCGAGGGGAGACGCCGCCGUCGCGUCUCCAGGCAGGGCGGCUUGAAUCCCUGUCGCCGGGAUCGCCCCGCCGAACUCCGGGCCAUGGCGAGAUCCAGCAGGCCAUGGCGGCGACCAGCGCCGGGAUAGGACCAGGAGGCCGCCGGCGUCUCCCUGAUCCGUGACCCCGACGCCAUGGAGCUGCUCGUCAAGGCACGCAGGCACGCGCGGGUCCAGCGGCAGGAAGGGCACAGAGGAGGACCGAGCUCGCCGGUGCGCGUGGCCAAGGGAUGUAGCUGCCCGGAGCUACUUCGCCCUCGACGAAGAGGAGACCGCGGGCCAGAGCUCCUGGUCUCCCAGGGCCGCCGAGCGCAAGGAACUAUUGCCAUGGCACCUCCUCGCUCGCCCUCGGUGCAGCGGCCGUGUAUAUGGAAUUGUGCCCUGGUGGGGGCUCCGAGGGAGGAAACCGACUAGCACAAGGCGCUACUGCCAUAGCGUCCGGAGGGAGGCAUGACGCGCAGGGCUACAGGGAAUCCGCCGACGACAUAUGUGGCUUCUCCUACGCCUGAUGGUGCUGUCAUUGCAGCGGCGGCAGCGGAUCUGAGUCCCACCCGUUGGGAUCGAACGACAGAUGGCGUGAGGCAGUUGGAUGCGAGUCCCACUCCCAACCUGAGGGCUCGACCUUCUCGAUUCCUGGCUGCGGCGGGUGUGGAACUCCGAAGUGACGGUGAACUCGCCGGCGUCGCACUGCCCCCACACAAGCGCCAUCAGAAAGCACUUCGCUCUGUUGCACACAAGCAAUAGCUAUUUCUGCACCAAUCUGUCCGAAGAUAUAAAGUUUGAACCAGCCCUUAGCUGCAUUUGGUCAGUUCAUCUUUCAGGAGAAUAUGCAUCUUACUUAGUUCGAGGUGUGACCUGACUCUUCUUUGUACGUAUGUAAUUGGUUUAUUUCUUGAUAGGGUGGUACUCUCUGAAUUUCUUGAUGAGUGUUCCCGUUGCUGCACUGCAUUGUGGCCGAGUCCUCUUCUUGGCCAUGCCAGUGACAUGAGCAGGAUGGUGUAUACCAGCUUCCCAGACAUGUGUCUGUCGAGGACGCACCGGGUUUGUGGAGGUGAUGGCACGAGUAUUUACCAGGAUGCUUGGAGAUGCGUUGGCAUAUGUCUAGAACAACCUGGUCCACGCAUGGGGUCUGACUUGAAUAUUUCAGGAGAUGACUAGAUGUAAAUCUGACUUUCAGAUAAUAUAUCUGUGAAUUGCGCAGAAUCAUAUAGAGCAGAUGGGCAUCGUUGACACGUAGUGCAUGACACAUUGCACGAUUAACAUGCUCUUAGGCCAGCUAAGUAACAUAAGACAACUUUUGUAUGAAGAUCGGUUGUUCGGUUUCAUUCUGACAGUUUAGAAGCUUUUGUUUGGCGUUUCUCUCAGCCGGAUAAUAGAGAAAAAGAGACUUACGCAGGCAUCAAGGCUCUUUGAAGUCAUAAUAUCCAGCUUCACCUUCAAAUGUCGACGUUCUACCAUGAUUGUGCAAUAUAUUUCAAGGCCCAUGAUAAAACUGAAAGAGCAUCAAGGGUUUUACAGGUCAUGGUGGCUGGGUUUUGCUGGCGUUGUGGUCCAUGCAUACCAAUUCUUUGAAUCAGUGCCACCGUGCAGUGAUGUAAGAAAAAAGUGUGUCGUUUGUCGACUGUGGGCAAUGGAGUGAUGUAGAUGUACUGUAGAGUACAUAUUCAAGGGAACUGUGAGGUGACUUAGAUAGCUGUAAUGAGCUGAUGGAGCCUUUGACCUGAAGUUAUAUUUGUAUAGAUUACAUGAUUUGUUGAUGAGGAUAAGAAAGAGGAGCUGAUGGCAAACAAACCGAGGAAAGUCACCGAAGAUUGAGGUUGGGUGCGAUGCCACAUCAGAAGGUAUUUAGGCUAUGGGUGAGUUAGGGGCCAUGGAGCGAGCCGAUAGGAGGGUCGAGUAUGGUGCAUACAUGUCAACGUUGGUAGUCAGAACUUGAUGCUGAGUGCGGAUGGGAAUGAUGGGGUGAGGAUGGGCAUGCUUUAGUCCAGCAAUUUAUCAUUGCCAAAUGGUUCAAUCCCGGUGAUGUCAUUGCUGGAUAUGCAAGGUCUCAUUGGGCAAGGUAUUCGAAGUUCUUAAGUGCCUAGGAACCUCGCUGUGCUUUUGUAUUGACGUGAUUAGCAAGUGUAUUUACCGAAGCAUAGAUGUAAUGUGGGUUAUGUGUAGCACCGAAUCUGAGAUGGCUGCAAUCCAGUCGGUUCUGGCAUUGGAGAGUUACGAGUGAAUCAGACUUAAUCAGAUGGCAUCAACACUGUUAAUCAUUGGAAGGUCUGCCGAGCGUUUGAGACGAGAAGCAUGGUGCCAAUACAUACUUUUGGUUCUUAACCCAGAUGAUCUCAUUUAAAGUUGUUGGCGUUUGUUAUAAUCAUUCUUGAUGAGCUGCACAACGCUUCAUGUAUUGCACUACUAAUGUGUUUAUUUGGUGGUCAAACUCCUGUUCCACUCCUAUAUAGAUGCUAUGAAAAUAAUUUGUUUUGUUUACUGAAAUCUGAAUAUAAGUGAAUCUA